rnacentral:rRNA from 1 species
AGACAGAGGAGGCAAGCGUUGUUCGGAAUCACUGGGCUUAAAGAGGGUGUAGGCGGCUUGGCAAGUGUCCUGUGAAAGCCCACGGCUCAACCGUGGAAUUGCAGGGCAAACUGCCAGGCUUGAGGUCGGUAGAGGUGCCUGGAACUCUAGGUGGAGCGGUGAAAUGCGUAGAUAUCUAGAGGAACGCCGGAGGCGAAAGCGGGGCACUGGGCCGAUUCUGACGCUGAGACCCGAAAGCGUGGGGAGCAAACAGGAUUAGAUACCCUGGUAGUCCACGCCGUAAACGAUGCACACUAGACGUCGGAGGUUCUGACACCGUCGGCGUUGGAGCAAAAGUAUUAAGUGUGCCGCCUGGGGAGUACGGCCGCAAGGCUAAA